rnacentral:rRNA from 1 species
UACAGAGGGGGCAAGCGUUGUUCGGAAUUACUGGGCGUAAAGGGCGCGUAGGCGGCCUCUUAAGUCGAACGUGAAAUCCCCGGGCUCAACCCGGGAACUGCGUCCGAUACUGGGAGGCUUGAAUCCGGGAGAGGGAUGUGGAAUUCCAGGUGUAGCAGUGAAAUGCGUAGAUAUCGAGAGGAACACCAGUGGCGAAGGCGAGUCCCUGGACAACACCUGACACUGAGGCACGAAAGCUAGGGGAGCAAACAGG